rnacentral:rRNA from 1 species
CCCUUAGAUGUUCUGGGCUGCACGCGCGCUUCACUGAAGCUAUCAACACGUUUUCCCUCCCUGAGAAGGGCGGGUAACCUUUUGAAUCAGCUUCGUGGUAGGGAUCGGGGCUUGCAAUUGUUCCCCGUGAACCAGGAAUUCCUAGUAGACGCGAGUCAUAAGCUCGCAUCGAUUAAGUCCCUGCCCUUUGUACACACCGCCCGUCGCUACUACCGAUUGAACGUUUUAGUGAGGCAUUUGGACCGACGCAUCUCAGUUUAACCGCUGGUUUGUGUUGGAAAGACUUCCAAACUUGAGCGUUUAGAGGAAGUAAAAGUCGUAACA